UACGGAGGGUGCAAGCGUUAUCCGGAUUUACUGGGUUUAAAGGGUGCGUAGGCGGGCCUUUAAGUCAGUGGUGAAAGCUCCGAGCUUAACUCGGAAACUGCCAUUGAUACUAUUGGUCUUGAAUUCGGUCGAGGUUGGCGGAAUGUGUCGUGUAGCGGUGAAAUGCUUAGAUAUGACACAGAACACCGAUUGCGAAGGCAGCUCGUUACACGAAUAUUGACUCUGAGGCUCGAAAGCGUGGGGAUCAAACAGG
rnacentral:rRNA from 1 species